AAAUUGAAGAGUUUGAUCAUGGCUCAGAUUGAACGCUGGCGGCAGGCCUAACACAUGCAAGUCGAACGGUAACAGGAAGCAGCUUGCUGCUUUGCUGACGAGUGGCGGACGGGUGAGUAAUGUCUGGGAAACUGCCUGAUGGAGGGGGAUAACUACUGGAAACGGUGGCUAAUACCGCAUAACGUCGCAAGACCAAAGAGGGGGACCUUCGGGCCUCUUGCCAUCAGAUGUGCCCAGAUGGGAUUAGCUUGUUGGUGAGGUAACGGCUCACCAAGGCGACGAUCCCUAGCUGGUCUGAGAGGAUGACCAGCCACACUGGAACUGAGACACGGUCCAGACUCCUACGGGAGGCAGCAGUGGGGAAUAUUGCACACUGGGCGCAAGCCUGAUGCAGCCAUGCCGCGUGUAUGAAGAAAGCCUUCGGGUUGUAACGUACUUUCAGCGGGGAGGAAGGUGUUGUGGUUAAUAACCGCAGCAAUUGACGUUACCCGCAGAAGAAGCACCGGCUAACUCCGUGCCAGCAGCCGCGGUAAUACGGAGGGUGCAAGCGUUAAUCGGAAUUACUGGGCGUAAAGCGCACGCAGGCGGUCUGUCAAGUCGGAUGUGAAAUCCCCGGGCUCAACCUGGGAACUGCAUUCGAAACUGGCAGGCUUGAGUCUUGUAGAGGGGGGUAGAAUUCCAGGUGUAGCGGUGAAAUGCGUAGAGAUCUGGAGGAAUACCGGUGGCGAAGGCGGCCCCCUGGACAAAGACUGACGCUCAGGUGCGAAAGCGUGGGGAGCAAACAGGAUUAGAUACCCUGGUAGUCCACGCCGUAAACGAUGUCUACUUGGAGGUUGUGCCCUUGAGGCGUGGCUUCCGGAGCUAACGCGUUAAGUAGACCGCCUGGGGAGUACGGCCGCAAGGUUAAAACUCAAAUGAAUUGACGGGGGCCCGCACAAGCGGUGGAGCAUGUGGUUUAAUUCGAUGCAACGCGAAGAACCUUACCUGGUCUUGACAUCCACAGAACUUUCCAGAGAUGGAUUGGUGCCUUCGGGAACUGUGAGACAGGUGCUGCAUGGCUGUCGUCAGCUCGUGUUGUGAAAUGUUGGGUUAAGUCCCGCAACGAGCGCAACCCUUAUCCUUUGUUGCCAGCGAUUAGGUCGGGAACUCAAAGGAGACUGCCAGUGAUAAACUGGAGGAAGGUGGGGAUGACGUCAAGUCAUCAUGGCCCUUACGACCAGGGCUACACACGUGCUACAAUGGCGCAUACAAAGAGAAGCGACCUCGCGAGAGCAAGCGGACCUCAUAAAGUGCGUCGUAGUCCGGAUUGGAGUCUGCAACUCGACUCCAUGAAGUCGGAAUCGCUAGUAAUCGUGGAUCAGAAUGCCACGGUGAAUACGUUCCCGGGCCUUGUACACACCGCCCGUCACACCAUGGGAGUGGGUUGCAAAAGAAGUAGGUAGCUUAACCUUCGGGAGGGCGCUUACCACUUUGUGAUUCAUGACUGGGGUGAAGUCGUAACAAGGUAACCGUAGGGGAACCUGCGGUUGGAUCACCUCCUUACCUGAAAGAA
rnacentral:rRNA from 1 species